AUGAUGAACUGCAAGGGUCAGAAUUUGGAGCCCAGAGUCAGGAUUUGGGUCAAGUGUGGAGCUUUGGCCUCAUCCCCAUCUCCCCUUUGUCCCGCAGGGCUCCGGGCGGCCGUGACCCUGCUGGAGUGCGGGGGGGACCUCCAGCCCCCCGGGGGGUCCCUGCGCCUCCUCUGCCGAGGGGCCGGGUUCAGUUUUGGGAAUUUUGGCAUGAACUGGGUCCGACAGAGACCCGGGCAGGGGCUGGAAUAUGUCGCAGGGAUCAACAGCAAUGGUGGCAGCACCUACUACGCGCUGUCGGUCAAGGGCCGGUUCACGAUCUCCAGGGACAAUGGGCAGAGCUCGGUGACGCUGACCAUGAACAGCCUCAAGGACGAGGAUUCCGGAUCCUAUUUCUGUGCGAAAGCCACCCACCCAAAUCUUCCCGUUGGCCUCACAUUGGGAAUUUUGGGCAAAAAUUUAAAUUCUUGA